GAGGUUGUAGCUCGGUAGUAGAGCACUUGCCUAGCAUGCACAGGCUCUGGGUUUGAUCCCCAGAACCUCA
rnacentral:tRNA from 1 species